rnacentral:lncRNA from 1 species
CUUAUCCUCCUGGUACAAAAGGGUGCCUUCCACCCUCAAAUAAAACAAUCACAACGGCUACAACCACUAUUACUAACAUUAUAAAACCCAUCACCAUCGCAAGAGAAAUCAUCACUUCCACAAAACUCACCACAACAGCAGCCAUCAGUUCUACAGAGCCCACCACUAUAGCAAUCACCCUCACUUCCACUAUACCCACCACUACAGUAACAGCCACCAAUUCCACAGAACCCACUGCCAUAGCAACAACUGUCACUGAUACAGAAUCCACCAACACAGCAACUACCACUUCAACAGAACCUACCACCACAAUAGCAACUAUAACCACUUCCACAGAACCCUACACUACUUUCACAGAAUCUACCACAAAAACCAUCAUUACUUCUACAGAACCCAACACAAUAGAAACCACCACCAUUUCCACAGAGCUCACCAAUAAAACAGCAAGCAUCACAUCCACAGAGCCCUUCACUGCAGCGAGCACCACUACUUCCACAGAAUCCACUAACACAGUUAACAUCAUCACUACUCCAAAACCCAUCAGAACAGCAACCAACAGAGCUUCCAAUGAACUCAACACCACAAUAACUGCUGCCACUUCAAAUGAACCUUCUACCAGAACAGGAAACACCACAAUGUCCACAGGUUCCACCUCAGCCACCAUCAUUAUUCCCACAGAACCCACUACCACAGCAAUCACUACCACUUCUGCAGGACCUGCCAUUCUAGCUACCACCACAACAUCCACAGAAUCCACCACCUCAACAACCAUCACCAGUUCAACUGAACCUACCACCACAAUAGCAACUCCUGUCUUUUCCACAGAACCCUAUACGACUAUCACAGAAUCCUCCACAACAAGCAUCAUGACUUCUACAGAGCCCACCACAAUAGAAACCACUGCCACUUCCACAGAACCCACCAAUAAAACAGCAACCAUUUCUGCCACAGAGUCCACUACAGCAACCAUCACCACUUCAACUGAACCUACCACUACAACAGCAAACAUUACCACUUCCACAGAACUCUAUGCCACUUCUACAGAAUCCAUCACAGCAGCUGUCACUACUUCCACAGAACCUUCAGCAACAGCAACGAUCACCACUUCCACAGAACCCUAUAUCACUUCCACAGAAUCCACCACAGCAACAGUCAUUACUUCCACAGAACCUACCACAAUAGCAACAGCCAUCACUUCCACAGAACCCACCACCACAAUAGCAACCAUCACUUCCGUAGAGCCAACCAUCACAGCAACCACAACCAUUUCAACUGAAACUACCACCACAACAAGAAACACCACAGCUUCCAAGGAAUCUGUCACCACAGCAACAGUCAUCACUUCUUCAGAACCCACAAUCACAACAACCACUGCAACUUCAAGUGAACUGACCACCACCACAGCAACUACCACCAGUUCAACAGAAUUUACACCAACAAAAGCAAUCAUCACUUCCACAGAACCCACCACCACAGCAACCGUGACCAUUUCAACUGAACCUACAACCAGAACAGCAACCAUAAUUUCCACAGAGCCCACUACCUCAGCAACAACCACCACUUCACCUGAACAUACCACAACAGGAACUACCACAACUUCCACAGAAAUAAUCACCACAGCAACAACCAUCACCUCUACAGAAUCUACCACAACAGAACCCACCACUGCUUCCACAGAACCCUAUACCACUAUCACAGGAUCCAUCACUGCAGCCAUCAUUACAACCAUAGAACCCACUGCAACAGCAACCAUCACUUCCACAGAGACCAUCACCACAGCAACUACCACCAAUUCAACUGAAACUACUACCACAACAGCAACCACCACAACUUCUACAAAACCCAGUAACACCACAGCAACCACCACCAAUUCAACUAAAUCUACACCAGCAACAGCAACCAUCAUUUUCACAGAGCCCAUCACCACAGCAACUGCCACCACUUCAACUGAACUUACCACCACAACAGGAACUACCACAACUUCCACAGAAAUCAUCACCACAGCAACAACCAUCACCUCUACAGAAUCCACUACUGUUGAACACAUCACCACUUCCACAGAACCCUAUACCACAUCCACAGAAUCCAUCCCAGCAACUACUAUUACUUCCAUAGAACCCACCACAAUAGCAACCAUCACUUCCACAGAGUCCACCGCUAGAGCAACAAGCACUACUUCAACUGAAACUAACAUCACAAAAGGAAACACCACAACUUCCAAGGAGCCUGUCCCCACAACUACAAUCAUCUUUUCUUCAAAAUCCACAACCACAGCAACCACUGCCAUGUCAAGUGAACUGACCACCACCACAGCAACCACAACUUCUAUAGAAGCCACCAACACCACAGCAACCACCACCACUUCAACUGAACAUACAACCACAACAGCCACCAUCACCUCUUCCAUAGAGCCCACAACCACAAAAGCUAUGACCACUUCAACUGAACCUACAAUGACAACAGCAACCAUUACUCCCACAGAGCCCACCACCAUAGCAACCACUAACACUUCAAUUGAACCUACCACCGUAACUGCCACCAUCACCACAUCCACUGAACACUAUACCACUUCCACAGAAUCCACCACAGCCACCAUCAUUAUUUCCACAGAACCCCUUAGAAUAGUAACCACCACCACUCUCACAGAGCCCACCACCACAGAAACCACCACUACUUCCACAGAAUCACCCACGUCAGCAACCAUCAUCACUACAACUGAACCCACCACUGCAACAGGAACCACCACAACUUCCAAAGACCUCACCACCACAGCAACAUUCAUUACUUCUACAGAAUUUACCACCACAGAACCCAUGACCACUUCCACAGAACCCUAUACUACUUCUACAGAACUUAUCACAGGCACCAUCAUUACAUCCACAGAAUCUGCCACAAUAGCAAACACCACCUCUUCCAUGGAGCCAACCACUACAGAAACCACCACUACUUCCACACCCACCACAGCAACUAUCAUCACUACAACAGAACCCACUACAUUAUCAACCAUCACCAUUUCCACUGAUAUGACCACCACAGCAAUCACUACUACCUCUUUAAUUGAACCUAUCACAACAAGAACCAACAUAACUUCCACAGAACCCACCACCAUAGCAACAAUCAACACUUCUGCAGAAUCUGUCACCACAGUAACCACCACCAUUUCCACAGAACCCACCACAACAGCAACCAUCACUCCCACAGAGCCCACCACUACAACAGCAAGCACUACUUCCUCAGAAUCCCCCAACAUGGUAGCCAUCAUCACUGCUACACAACCCAGCACAACAGCAAUCAUUACCACUUCCACUGAACCCAUCACCACAGCAACCACCACCACUUCCAUGGAACCCACCACCAGAACAUUAAUAAUUACCACUUCCACAGAACCUUAUACCACUUCUACAGAAUCUACCACAGCAACCACCAUUAUUUCCACAGAGCCCACCACUACAGCAACCACCACUACUUCUGCAGAAUCUCAAACCUCAGCAACAAUCACCACUACUACAGAACUCACCACCAAAGCAGUCACCACCACUUUCCCUGGACCUACCAUCACAACAGGAACAUUCACAACUUCCACAGGACCCACCACCAGAGCAACCACUACCUCUCUAACUGAACCCACCACCACAGAAACCAACACAACUUCUACUGAAGCCACCACCACCACAGAAAUCACCACCAAUUCAACUGAACCUGCCACCACAACAGCAGCCUUCACUUCCACAGAGCCCACCACCAUAGCAACCAUCACCACUUUAACCAAACCUACCAAAAUAGGAAACACCACAAUUUUAAGAGAUGCCACAAGAGCAACUAUCAUUACUUCUACAGAAUCUACUACCAUAACAACUACCAACACUUCUACAGAACUGACUGCCACAACCACCACCACCACUUUUCUAGAACCCACCAUCACAGCAACCAACAUUACUUCCACAGAACCCAUCACUACAGCAAUCACCAUCACUGCAACUGAACCUAUCACCACGACAGGAACCACCCCUACUUCCACAGGAAACACCACCAGAGCAACCAUCAUUACUUCUACAGAACCUACCACAAUAACAACCACCACCACUUCCAUAUCACCCACCACCAUAAAGGCAAUAAUCACUCCCACAGAGCCCAAUGGUACAGUAAUCACCACCACUUUAGCUGAAUCUACACCCACAACAGCAACCAUUAUUUCCACAGAGCCUACCACCACUUCAUCUGAACCCACCACAAUUUCCACAGAACCCACUACAACAGCAGCAAUCAUCACUUCUACAGAAUCCACCACCACAGCAACCACUGUCACUUCAACUGAAUCUACCACAACAGCAACCAUUACCACUUUCACAGAACCCACCAGCACAUCAACACCCAUCAGUUCCACUGAACCCACUACCACAGCAACCACCACCAGAACAGCAACCAUUAUCACUUCCACAGAACCCUGUAAUACCACUUCCAUAGACUCUAUCACAGCAACCACCACUACUUCUGCAGAAUCCCACACCACAGCAACAAUCAUCACUAUUACAGAACUCACCACCACUUCCACUGAACCUACCACCACUACGGGAACCACCACAACUUCCACAGAACCCACCACCAGAGAAACACUCAUCACUUCUACAGACUCCACCACCACAGCAACCAGCAAAACUUCUACUGAAGCCACCACCACCAAUUCAAUGGAACCUACCACAACAGCAACAAUCACUACUUCCACAGAACCCUAUACCACUUCCACAGAAUCCACCACAAUAGCAACCACCACCAUUUCCACAGAACCCAUCACCACAACAGCACCCAUCACUUCCACAGAGUUCACCACUACAGCAACCACCACUACCUCUGCAGAACUCCAAACCACAACAACGAUCUUAACCAUUGCAGAACUCACCACCAAACCAAUCAGCACUACAUUCACUGAAACUACCACUGCAACAGGAACCACCACACCUUCCACAGAACCCACCACCAGAGCAACAAUCAUCACCUCUACAGAACCCACCACUACAGCAACCACCACCACUGUAACUGAAUCCACCACCACAGCAACCACAACUUCUACUGAAGCCACCACCACCACAGUAAGCACCACCACUUCAACUAAACCUACACCAACAACAGCAACUGUCGUUUCCACAGAAUCCCCCACCACAGCAACCAUCAUUACUACUACAGAAGCAACCAUGAGUACUUCCACUGACUCCACCACCACAGCAACUACCAUCAGUAUUUUCACAGAGCUCACUACUGCAACGGAGCCCACCACCACCACAGCAGUAGCAACCAUCUCCACAGUACCUACAGCAGCUACAACUCAAAUAUAACCAGCCCUCUAUCCACCAUAGUGCCCAGUACCACUAUCCAUGUUACAGCUUCCAAACUACACCCAUCUGUAUAAAGUUUAAGAGUUCUGGGGAUUAGUUCCUGUUGUUUUUUGGUUGAAGAUGUGAGAAAUUAUUUUCCAAACUUCUCUAGCUCUUAGGAGAAAUGAACUUCAAUUAUUUCAGUGGAACCAACCCUGUUC